GGACAGAGAUGGAAGAUUAGCAAGAGCUUGCAAAACGGCAAAAGCCCCUCACGUCUGCCCAUCGCAUCGAUAUAUAUAUAUAUAUAAUCACUGGCCGUGACCACCCUCCCCAUCCCCAAUUCCUCCCCUUCCUCCGCAAGCGACAUCUUGCUCUUCUUCCCUUCUUUUAACCCCCAAUUUGUCCUCCUCGCCUCACACACUCUCCAUAAAAUCCCUAAAAGCCUUUUCUAACGCGCUCCAAUUCCCAUCCUCUUCUCUUUUUUUUACCCACGAAGAACCCUACCUUGCCGAUUCAGAUGCUUCAUCCUUCCGCCUCCUGAUCGCCGCCACCACGGCGAGGCUAAGCCCCUUCUUGUAUGGAAACUCGGAGCCGGAAGCGGGCAGAGGCCUCCUCUUCUAAAUCUCCGGCAACCCGCUCGACAAAACGCCCCCGCACCUCUUCAGAUCCCUCCGUCGCUACGCGCACUCGCCAGGCCUCUUCGAUGGACUCCGACCAUGCGUCUGGACGCCGCGACCGCCGUAGCUCUGGCGAAGAGAGGGACCCUCCCGAGGGUUCUUCUCGCGAAGUUGAGAGGAUCUUAGGACUUAACUUUGAUGGUGCUGGUGCCGAUGAUGACAACGACAGUGAAACUGGCGUUGGGGUCGGGAUUCUCCAUCAGAACUUUACCAACGCGAGUAGUGCCCUUCAGGGACUCUUGCGGAAACUGGGCGCAGGUUUGGAUGAUUUAUUACCAUCCUCCGCUUCGUCCUCGUCUCACCAGAGCAGUCGGCUCAAGAAAAUUUUAUCUGGGUUGAGGGCUGAUGGUGAGGAGGGUAGGCAGGUCGAGGCGCUGACGCAGCUUUGCGAGUUGUUGUCGAUUGGAACGGAGGAUUCCUUGGGAUCGUUUUCAGUGGACUCGUUUGUGCCCGUUUUGGUUGGGUUGCUGAAUCAUGAGAGUAACCCUGAUAUGAUGAUACUUGCUGCGAGGGCGCUUACUCAUUUAUGUGAUGUUUUGCCUUCUUCCUGUUCUGCCGUGGUGCAUUAUGGUGCUAUUCCGUGUUUCUGUGCUCGGUUGCUCACGAUUGAGUAUAUGGACUUGGCGGAGCAGUCCCUUCAAGCUCUUAAAAAAAUAUCACAAGAGCACCCAACUGCUUGUUUGAGGGCUGGGGCACUUAUGGCCGUUCUCUCUUAUCUUGAUUUUUUCUCCACAGGAGUCCAGAGGGUAGCAUUGUCUACUGCUGCAAACAUGUGCAAGAAACUUCCGUCCGACGCAGCUGAUUUUGUAAUGGAAGCUGUACCGUUGUUAACAAAUCUUCUUCAUUACCAUGAUGUUAAGGUUCUUGAAUAUGCAUCUGUUUGCUUGACACGAGUAGCUGAGGCAUUUGCCUCUUCUCCUGAUCAAUUAGACGAGCUUUGCAAUCAUGGGUUGGUUGCUCAAGCUGCUGGACUUAUUUCUUCGAGUAACUCUGGAGGACAACCUUCCCUCAGCACAUCAACAUACACAGGUUUGAUUCGUCUUCUUUCAACAUGUGCUAGUGGAUCACCUUUAGCUGCGAAAACUCUACUGCUCCUUGGUAUAAGUGGAAUCCUUAAGGACAUCUUAUCUGGUUCUGGUCUUGUUUCUAGCAUGUCAGUUUUUCCUGCCUUAUCAAGGCCGCCAGAUCAGGUUUAUGAGAUAGUUAAUCUUGCGGAUGAGCUUCUUCCUCCACUGCCCCAAGGAACUGUUUCCCUCCCGAGUUACUCCAAUGUUCUUGUGAAAGGAUCAGCUGGAAAGAGAAUUGCUGGUAGUUCUUCUGGGAAGCAGGAUGAGACUGAUGGUUCAAAGAAUGAACCCUCUCCUCAUGAGAAAUUAUUGCAAGAUCAACCUGAACUCUUUCAGCAAUUUGGAUUGGACCUGCUGCCCAUCUUGACUCAGGUAUAUGGCUCCAGUGUAAAUGGUCCUAUUCGACAUCGUUGUCUUUCAGUCAUCGGGAAACUUAUGUACUUCAGCUCAGCGGAUAUGAUCCGAUCUUUACUUGGUACAACAAACAUAUCAAGCUUCUUAGCAGGAGUUUUGGCUUGGAAAGACCCAAAUGUGCUGAUCCCUACCCUUCAGAUUGCAGAGAUUCUUAUGGACAAGCUUCCAGGAAUUUUUGCCAAAACGUUUGUGAGAGAAGGAGUUGUCCAUGCUGUCGAUUCUCUCAUCCGCUCAGUUUCUUCAAAUACUACAACUCAGUCAUUAUUUCCUGAGAAGGACACUGAUUCUGUGCCUGGCACAUCAUCACGUUCUCGACGCUACCAAAGGCGGAGCGGUGGACUGAACACUGAUGGUGGUUUGUUGGAGGCAAAAGCUUCAACAGCUGGAACAGGUUGGUCAUCAGCACUGCCAGAGGUUUCUGCUGCCAAUAACAGCAUUAGAUCAGCAGUGGGUGAGUUCGCCAAGGCUUUCAAAGACAAACACUUUCCUGCUGUUCCUGGGGCAACUGAAAUUGGCAUUACUGAGGAUCUUCUUCGUUUGAAAUGUCUUUCUUCAAAAUUGAUUGCUAGUAAUGAUGAAGCGAAGACGAGAGCCAAGGGAAAAUCUAAGGCCUCCGUGGCCCGUGUAUUUGAUACUUCGGCAAGUACAGAAGGGGAGUUGGAUAAUGUAGUUUCUGAGAUGCUGACUGAACUAAGUAAAGACAAUGGUGUAUCAACUUUUGAGUUCAUUGGUAGUGGUGUUGUACUGGCUUUAUUGAAUUAUUUUUCAUGUGGAACAUUUGGAAAAGAAAGAGUCUCAGAGGCGAACCUGCCCAACCUCCGUCAGCUAGCUCUUAGGAGGUACAGGUCUUUCAUAGGCCUCUCCCUUCCUGUUGGUAUCAAGGAACAGAAUGAAGUUCCUAUGAAUAUCUUGGUUCAAAAACUUCAAAGUGCUCUAUCUUCGUUGGAACGAUUUCCUGUUGUACUUAGCCAUCCUUCUAGAUCUUCUAGUGGUGGAAGUGCUCGCCUUUCGUCUGGUUUGAGUGCAUUGUCACAGCCUUUCAAGUUGCGCUUAUGUAGAGCACAGGGUGAAAAGUCUCUACGUGAUUACUCUUCAAAUAUUGUGCUCAUUGAUCCUCUGGCAAGUUUAGCAGCCGUUGAAGAGUUUCUUUGGCCAAGGAUCCAAAGGAGUGACCCAAUACAGAGGACUUCGGCAUCAGCUGGAACUCCUGAUGCUGGUGCUUCAGCUGUAGGGGGCAGCAAUGUUUCAUCUUUAGGCACAUCAACUUCUUCAGGUCGUCGUCCUACUACUAGAUCUUGGUCAUCAGUAACCAUUGGAGGUACUACAGGAAAGGAAUCUUCUGAGGGAAAUGCAAACCCUUUAAAAGGAAAGGGUAAAGCUGUCGUGAAAUCCACACUUGAUGAUGGUAAAGGAUCGCAAACAAGAAAUGCAGCCCGCAGAAAAGCAGACUCAGAAAAAGACACUGAAAUGAAAGCUGCACAUAGUGACUCUGACUCGGAGGAUGACAACUUGGAUAUGUCUCCUGUUGAGAUUGAUGAUGCUCUAAUGAUUGAAGAAGAUGAUGUCUCAGAUGACGAAGAGGAUGAUCAUGAUGAGGUCCUAAGAGACGAUUCUCUUCCUGUUUGUACACCUGAUAAAGUGCAUGAUGUGAGAUUAGGAGACUCUGCUGAUGAUUCGGCAAAUAUUCCUUCAGCAAGUGAUGUUCAUACUAACCUUUCUGCUUCUGCAAAUAGGAUUGCACAAGCGAGAGGUUCAGAUUUCACUGAAUUUAGAAACAUAAGCGCUUUUAGCUCAAGAGGUGCAAUGUCAUUUGCUGCUGCUGCCAUGGCUGGGCUGGCAUCUGUAAGUGGUAGAGGAAUCAGAGCUGGUAGGGAUCGUCGUGGAUUUCCACAUGGAAGUAGCGCUCAUGAGCAGUGCAAUAAGUUAAUAUUCACAGUUGGCAGUAAACAGCUUAGCAAGCAGAUGACUAUAUAUCAGGCUAUCCAACGCCAACUUAUGCUGGAUGAGGAUGAAGAUGACAGGUUAAAUAGGCCUGAAUUUGUGCCAACUGAUGGAAGCAGAAUUUUGAGUGAUGUUUUCACUAUAAGUUACAAGAAGGCAGAUAAUCAGUCAGAUGGGCCAGCUCAAGGAGGGUCAUCUUCCUUUGACAAGUCUUUAAAAUCUGGUUCUGCUUCAAAUUCGGGUUCAGACACCAGGUGGAAGCAAUCAUCUCUUCUUGAUAGCAUCUUACAUGGGGAGCUUCCUUGUGAUAUUGAGAAAUCAAGCCCCACGUACAACAUUUUGGCACUAUUGCGUGUGCUGGAGGGUUUAAAUCAACUAGCUCCUCGUCUUAGAUUUCAAAAAGUGGCUGAUGAGUAUGCUGAUGGAAUGGUUUCUACUCUGGAUGAACUAUACACACCUGGUACCAGAGUUCUUCCACAAGAAUACAUCAAUAACAAGUUAACCCCAAAGCUUGUACGGCAAAUCCGAGAUCCUCUUGCAUUGUGUAGUGGUAGUCUUCCUUCCUGGUGCUAUCAACUGACAAAAGCUUGCCCUUUUCUUUUUCCGUUUGAGACAAGGAGACAAUUUUUCUAUUCUACUGCCUUUGGAAUAUCUCGUGCUUUGCAUCGUCUACAACAUCAGCAAAAUGCUGAAAAUACUAGUGUCACCAGUGAAAGAGAGGUCCGUGUUGGUAGAUUGCAACGGCAAAAGGUUCGGGUUUCAAGGAAUCGCAUAUUGGAGUCUGCCGCAAAAGUUAUGGAGAUGUACUCAAGCCAAAAAACUGUUCUUGAAGUGGAAUAUUUUGGUGAGGUUGGCACUGGAUUAGGUCCCACCCUUGAGUUCUAUACUCUUUUAAGUCAUGAUCUUCAAAAGGUUGGACUUGGAUUAUGGAGAUCCAACUCAUCAUUUGAGACAUCUGCAAUGGAAAUUGAUGGACAUGAAGUGAAGGAAGUGAACAAAGAUGAUGUCUCUGAUGAAAAGAAUACAGCUUCUAUGGCUUUUACUCAAAGUAGAGAUUUUAUUCAUGCUCCUCUCGGAUUGUUUCCUCGUCCAUGGCCUCCUAAUGCUGAUGCUUCUGAGGGUAGCCAUUUUUCGAAAGUCCUCGGAUAUUUUCGCUUGCUUGGUAGAGUGAUGGCAAAAGCUUUACAAGAUGGCCGGCUCCUGGACCUGCCACUAUCGACAACCUUUUAUAAGUUUGUGCUUGGUCAAGAGCUUGAUUUGUAUGACAUUCUUUCAUUUGAUACCGAGUUUGGGAAGAUUUUGCAAGAGCUGCAGAUCAUUGUUAGCAGGAAAAAGCUUCUAGAAACUUCUGGGAGAGGCAAUCAGAGGGUGACUAAUGAUCUUUGUUUCCGUGGUGCUCCGAUUGAAGAUCUGUGUUUAGACUUUUCCCUUCCUGGUUAUCCUGAUUAUAUUCUUCAAGAAGGAGAAGAAAGCACGGUGGUUAAUAUUGAUAACCUGGAAUUAUACAUUAGUUUGGUGGUUGCUGCUACACUUAGGACUGGAAUUAUGCGGCAGAUGGACGAAUUCAAAGCAGGAUUUAACCAGGUCUUUGACAUUUCUACUCUGCAAAUAUUCUCUCCUCAUGAAUUGGAUCACCUCAUCUGUGGCCGUAGAGAAUUGUGGGAGCCUGAGACAAUGGCUGAUCAUAUUAAAUUUGAUCACGGAUACACUGUUAAAAGCCCCGCAAUUACUAAUUUGCUCGAGAUUAUGGCAGAGUUCACGCCACAGCAGCAGCAUGCCUUCUGCCAGUUUGUUACUGGUGCUCCCAGACUUCCACCUGGUGGCCUAGCUGCGCUCAAUCCAAAGCUAACCAUAGUGAGGAAGCAUUCUUCAAACGCAACAAAUACAGCAUUAGCAUCAAACGCAACAGCAAUAUCUGAAACAGCUGAUGAUGACCUGCCAAGCGUUAUGACUUGUGCAAAUUAUCUGAAACUUCCUCCUUAUUCUACAAAGGAAAUUAUGUACAAGAAACUCAUGUAUGCCAUAAAUGAAGGACAGGGUUCAUUUGAUCUUUCUUAAGCCAAAGGUGGCGGUGAAGAGGAGCAUCAAUGUGCGCGCUGGCAAUGAUCACCCAGUUUUGUAGCCUGUGAAAAACAGAUUACAGAAAGAGUAUUAAUUUUCUUCUGACUCCUGGAAGCUUGGAAAGGGGAUGGGCCGCUCUCUAGAAGUGUCUGUAAAUAGGGUAAAAAAAAAGUAUUUAUUUUAUUUUUAUUUUUAUUUUAUAAUUAUAAGCUUGAGCUCAGCAGGGCGGGUCAUGGCAAUCACUCUGCUUAAGAAUGCUGUAGGUUCAUGCUUCCAUUUCAUUCCUGAAUUAAUGAGAUUUGAGCUGAUAGAAUGUGGAAGAUAUAAAAUUAGAUUAUCCUCUUUUUUUUUUU